ensembl:lncRNA
UACGUUAACUUGCAGCGUAGGACCAGGCAGGGACGUUUUCUCAGUCGACGGGCUGCUUUUUCUGCAUAGAAAGUUGGCGGCAUAUUGAUUGUUUCCUAUGGGGGUCGUCGCGCUGGCCACUAAAGUUUCUAAAACGCAUACUGAAAUUUAAAGGAUGUUAUUCGGCAGGGGGAGAAACAGUGGCCAAGAGGAGAUCUCUCAGGUUGAGUGAAAAACCUGCACCUUCAAAGGCAGAGGCCAAACCUAAGCCCAAGAAGGCACCUGCUAAGCCUAAAAAAGCCAAGGAGGUGGAGAAGGCAAAGCCCGAGGAGAAAGCACCAGAGGCCCCCGCUGAGAAUGGUGAAGCCAAAGCCGAGGAAGAGGCACCGGCCACAGAAGAAGCGGACGAAAAAGAUGAUGCGGCAGAAUAACAUCUCUCAAACCACGUCUUUGCCAGUGCUCCCUGUACCUCUUUUCUUGUACAAUUCAGGGGAAUAUUUUUAUCAACUAUUUUCUAAAUACAGGUUUUUUAGUAGUUUGAUUGUAGAGAACACUUUUUUUUAAUGAAAGAAAAAAAAGUCAAUUUGGAGACGGGAAUUUCGUCACAUCCCACAAUUUUGCAUCGCCACAAAAAAUCGCGGUUGUUGUUUCUGUCAGUGGAUUUCGUUUCAUUUUUAAAUGUGAAGAGGGCGGGGAGGGGUUGCAGGACAGGUUACUGUGUCGGCGCUUAAGCACAGCGUUCACAGCAGCUGGGGCAACAACCAGAGGAGCUUGUCCACGUGGAUUACAUUCCAUAUGCUUUAUAAGGGACAAUGUGUGUAAUCUGUGCGGGGUGGGAAUAGACAAAGUCACAGGGCAACUCAUUGUUUUAUUGUUCAUAAUGAAGAACUGUGUUUUAGAAUGUUUGUAAGCUUUGUUCCUAUAUGUUAUCUCUUGUACUCAUGCAGAUUUUCAAUGAAUCUGAUCAAUAAAGCUAAAAAUCCCUAGUACUCGAGCUCUCCUUAUCAAAACUGCAUCGCGUGUGUUGGUUGUGUCUCUGUUUCUGUGAUAGCAUCGCAAUAAAUUUGUAUAGCUGCUGUGAAAAAAAAGGUUUUCAAUCUUUCUAUAUGCAUUGUGUAAUGGUACAUAGUAAGGAUGGUAAAAAUGGAAUUUGUUUUCUUAGCCAGGAUAAUGAGGUGUGUAACCAUCAAAAACAAACUUGAGAUUGGCGUCUUUAAGGCCAACCGACAAACUGUACAUUUAUUUGAGAUGUCAAAUGCAUACCAGCAGUAGCAAUAUUAAUGUGGGUUUUAGAUAUCUGUAUCAAGUACACGUGUGCCGUUCAUUUUUAUUUGUUUAUAGAUGUACCUGUGUAAUGAUUGUUAUCAACAAACCAAUAAAACUCUGUUGGUAGUUGUUUCAUUCUGAGGCGUCGGUUUAUGAGCGAGGUUGCUGAAAGAUUGCUGUAACUGUUUCUAAAAGUUAAUGAAAGGGAGAAUACAAUAAAUAUUGAUAUUUAUAACAUAGAAAUGUGCUUGCCGCUUCCGCAUUGAUAGUGAUUUGUUAAAUCACCAAGCAAGCACCUACACUAUAACAAAUGUUUUCUACAUGUAAAAUAAAACUUGAUUCAUUAUCUGCUGUUGGAUCAAGGUAGACCAGCUAAUUUACAGUACUAGUCAAAAGUUUGGACACACUGUCUCAUUGAAUUCAGUGCUAAAAAUGUGUCCAGACGUUUGACU